AACGAACGCUGGCGGCGUGGCUAAGACAUGCAAGUCGAACGGUACGUUGUAGCAAUAUGGCGUAUAGUGGCGAACGGGUGAGUAAUGAAUAGGUAACGUGCCCCGGGCGACAGGAAUAACCGCCCGGGAACGUUACGGUUCCCUUUGUCGAAAGUAGGCGUUAAUACCUGAUGACAUCACCGGACGGCGAUCUUUUGGUUGAUCAAAGGGU
rnacentral:rRNA from 1 species